rnacentral:rRNA from 1 species
AUUGCACGCUGGCGGCCGGCCUAACACAUGCAAGUCGAGCGAGCGGCGGACGGGUGAGUAAUGUCUGGGAAACUGCCUGAUGGAGGGGGAUAACUACUGGAAACGGUAGCUAAUACCGCAUACCAUCAGAUGUGCCCAGGUGGGAUUAGCUAGUAGGUGUGGUAACGGCUCACCUAGGCGACGAUCCCUAGCUGGUCUGAGAGGAUGACCAGCCACACAGGAACUGAGACACGGUCCAGACUCCUACGUGAGGCAGCAGUGGGGAAUAUUGCACAAUGGGCGCAAGCCUGAUGCAGCCAUGCCGCGUGUGUGAAGAAGGCCUUCGGGUUGUAAAGCACUUUCAGCGGGGAGGCGUUACCCGCAUAAGAAGCACCGGCUAACUCCGUGCCAGCAGCCGCGGUAAUUC